CGCAUUGGCUCCGCAUUCCUUCACGGAAACCCACUGUCGCGAACUCUGUUCAUCAAAUUGAAAGGCAGCGAACUAGUUAGAAACCCUUGUUGUCACGUCCUCGGGAAAGGUCCCCUUGGGUUUAUGUGAAUGCCGGAGCAGUGCGGUGAAUUCCGGGUGAGACGACGGGCGUUACCUGCAUUGUAUACGAGGGCGGAGGUGGUGGUGCAGGUGGAGGUUUGAACUGACGCAGCUCUCAGCUCGCCUUUCCGGAACGUGAGUGGGACGGGAGUUGAGGUUGCUGUGAGUUGGGUUUGGUAAUCGUAGUUUUGGAGCGGGUUGGAGUUUCGUGUUGGGUUUCGACAGGGUUGGAUUCUGUGUCAGGGUGAUGGGGGUUGCCCCUGGGGUUGUGACUGAGAUGUGGGACGGGGGAGGUUGGAGUAUUGCCUCUCUGGGUUGUAGUGAUAGAUGCUAACUCAGGUGGGAAGUGAGUUUUCUUUUUUCCUUUUUCCUGCGAGUAUGGCUGGAGGUUUCAUCGUGGGACGUUAGAGCGGACCUGGAAGUUCUGUAGACUGGGAUUGAGAAUUCCGUCUUGGAUCCAGUCUGCAGAUGUUAGAUGACGAUGUCACUGUGGUGGGAAUUGGUGCAAGAUUGAAGGUCUCGAGAGUCGUAUUUGGUUGCUCUGGAGAAGGAAUAAGUUACAGGUUGGAUAAGAGGGACGUAGGUUGUAUGUGCCGGCAGGUAAUUUACAAGGAGGUAGCCUGCGCUGUGAACAGCAAACGUGAGAUUACAGGUAUGUGUGUCCUUUGAUGGAACUGGAGUUAAGGGAAAUGAGAAUUGGAUUUGUGGGUGAAGGGAGAGGGUAGUAGUGGAGGCUCACAAUGCAGCAGGUUCCAAAUCCAGAAUGCAGUUCCUCUGCCACAUCUAACAAUGAAGCUCGAUGGAGCAGAAUACCCAGGGUGCAGUUAUUGCGCAAUAAGAAUGACCAGCGGGUGCCCCUAUAUUUUGACCAGACGGUGCCAGUGUGGCCCAUUCCUGUGCCCCCCAAAGGGCACUCAACGAACGCCUCUCCGUCUUCGAAAAGUUCCGGAGAGGAUGCCGGUGGGCAAGAGCAGGCGCAUCCGGAGCGUGAGCUGGGCCGCGGUCGUCGUCAUGGCGAGCUCAAACUUUCAAGGAAGUGGGUUAGUGAUACAGUCUGGUUCCGAAGCAUAAAGGGGCGUUUGAGGACGGCAGGUUCUGAGGCUCACUCGUUCAACGUUAGUGAAAUCUUACGAAGCUACGACAUGACCUUGCGUGAUUACGAAUCCCUCACUCCCUCGAAAUGGUCAGGCAUAGAGCAGGACCUGUUCACCUGCACACCGGUCGACCCUAAAGUAUUUGUCGUUCCAACGGCCGCAGAUUCCAUUACGAAGAUAUUGAAGAGCAAGGAGUAAUGAUCGCCCACACUCACCAUGGUUAGUGUUAACUCAUGGAGUUCAGUGGUGAUCGUUGUUCGUAGUUACCAAUGAAUUGUUACAAUGAGGCCGGUUGAGGAACUGGAUCAGUUGUUGCAGGAGCAGUAGCUGGAUAUCUGACAAUGGUAGGGAAAAUCUAGGUCAAGUUUUGAUGUGGCCUUUUGAGUCUCUUUUCAUAAGCUUAGUUUUGGUCUUACAUUUAUAUUGAGUAGGAGGAUCUUGGCAGUUGACGAGCUCCAGGCAUUGAAGAAAUUCCGAUGCGCUCGGGUCUCUGUCAACAUGCCGAGGGGCAAGUCGUUGCAGUUGAUCUAUCUUCUCCGCUUCCUUGUUUCAAUUAAUCUCAGCUCAAGUAGCGAAGAAUUGGCGCUCUGUGGCCCGUUGAACCGCAUGAUGUGCAUUCGUACUGGAACCUGCAGUUGGAUUCCCAUGUAUCUCUUGAAUCGUGAUGAAUCAAUCAACCUCCUCACAUCGCAUGCCUAGUUUGGGUGUUUCUUAACCUCUUGCAUGUAGGCGGUGACAUUCCCAUUUCCAUACUGACCGGCCAUCAAGAGUACCCUGAGCAUCAUCAUAAUCAAGUUGGCGGAUUUGUAUCACUGUUUUCGGGAGGCCUCAAUGGCGAUUGUCUCAGAAAAUUCUACUUCAUCGCACUACCAGAAUAUUUUAGCAGGUUUCCCAAUAUUGCUAAAGACUACCACAACGGGACUCUUACUUCUGCAUCUGAGUCUAUCCAUUUGAAAAUAAUGUGUGCUUUCGCUUUGUUGCUAUGAUUCUUGGUAAGUGUCAAGGUUUUUAUCUGAAUUCUAAAGGUCUCCCUGCAGAUUGUUGUUGCCCUGGGGACGGGCUCCACGGAAUCCGUUAGCCAUGAGGAUUUGGUGACAGUGAUGAGCACUGUGAUCCUUGAUGGAGGGAGUUGACUCUGGGUAAGGUUCAGUCAGAUGGUCACACAUAGUCUUGUUUUGGUGUGCAGUAGUCGUAGUGAGGCCUAGCACAAUCUACCUUUAACUGUCAGAUUCAUGGGGACCUUUAUGGAGUCCACACAAUGGUCGUUUUUUAAUAUCAUUACUUCGUUUGAGAC